rnacentral:rRNA from 1 species
UACGUAGGGGGCAAGCGUUGUCCGGAAUCAUUGGGCGUAAAGAGCGUGUAGGCGGCCCGAUAAGUCCGCCGUGAAAGUCCAGGGCUCAACCCUGGAAUGCCGGUGGAUACUGUCGGGCUAGAGUCCGGAAGGGGCGAGUGGAAUUCCUGGUGUAGCGGUGAAAUGCGUAGAUAUCUGGAGGAACACCGGUGGCGAAGGCGGCAUCCUGGACCAAUACUGACACUGAAAAGCGAAAGCCAGGGGAGCAAACGGG